UGUAAGCGUAUACCAAAGUUGUUGCAGUUAAAACGCUCGUAGUCGGAAUUUGGCAGUUCCGGAUGUGUGCACGUCGUGUGCGCACUUCGCGGGGAUUGCUUUUGUGGUCUUGCGUAGGAUGAGGCACUUUUAUUAGUGAACGUCCUCACGCAACCACUUUUUACUGUGAGAAAAUCAGAGUGCUCAAAGCAGGCAUUUGCCGUGAAUGUAUUAGCAUGGAAUAACAGAAUAGGACUUGGCUCUAUUUUGUUGGUUUGUUGGGACUGAGUAAUGAUUAAGAGGGACAGUUGGGGGCAUUUGUAUUUCGGUGCUAGAGGUGAAAUUCUUAGAUUACCGAAAGACAAACUGCUGCGAAAGCGUCUGCCAAGGAUGUUUUCAUUGA
rnacentral:rRNA from 1 species